rnacentral:rRNA from 1 species
GUAGGGAAUAUUGGACAAUGGGGGCAACCCUGAUCCAGCGACGCCGCGUGAGUGACGAAGGCCUUCGGGUCGUAAAGCUCUGUUGCAAGGGAAAAACAAAAUGAUGGUACCUUGCUAGAAAGGAUCGGCUAACUUCGUGCCAGCAGCCGCGGUAAGACGAGGGAUCCUAGCGUUGUUCGGAAUUAUUGGGCGUAAAGCGAGUGUAGGUGGCUUUGUAAGUCAGGUGUGAAAGCCUGGGGCUUAACCCCAGAAGUGCAUUUGAUACUGCGAAGCUUGAGUGCUGGAGAGGCUACUAGAAUUCUUGGUGUAGAGGUGAAAUACGUAGAGAUCAAGAGGAAUACCGGAGGCGAAGGCGGGUAGCUGGCCAGACACUGACACGCAGACCCGAAAGCGUGGGGAUCAAACAGGAUUAGAAACCCGGGUAGUCC